CACGUAGGGGGCAAGCGUUGUCCGGAUUUAUUGGGCGUAAAGAGCUCGUAGGCGGCUUGGCAAGUCGGGUGUGAAAACUUCAGGCUCAACCUGGAGCGGCCACUCGAUACUGCUAUGGCUUGAGUCCGGUAGGGGACCACGGAAUUCCUGGUGUAGCGGUGAAAUGCGCAGAUAUCAGGAGGAACACCAGUGGCGAAGGCGGUGGUCUGGGCCGGAACUGACGCUGAGGAGCGAAAGCGUGGGUAGCAAACAGG
rnacentral:rRNA from 1 species